UUGCCUUUAGUUACCAGCACGUUAUGGUGGGCACUCUAAGGAGACUGCCGGUGACAAACCGGAGGAAGGUGGGGAUGACGUCAAGUCAUCAUGGCCCUUACGGCCUGGGCUACACACGUGCUACAAUGGUCGGUACAAAGGGUUGCCAAGCCGCGAGGUGGAGCUAAUCCCAUAAAACCGAUCGUAGUCCGGAUCGCAGUCUGCAACUCGACUGCGUGAAGUCGGAAUCGCUAGUAAUCGUGAAUCAGAAUGUCACGGUGAAUACGUUCCCGGGCCUU
rnacentral:rRNA from 1 species